UGCAGUCGAACGAUGAAGCCCAGCUUGCUGGGUGGAUUAGUGGCGAACGGGUGAGUAACACGUGAGUAACCUGCCCUUAACUCUGGGAUAAGCCUGGGAAACUGGGUCUAAUACCGGAUAGGAGCGCCUACCGCAUGGUGGGUGUUGGAAAGAUUUAUCGGUUUUGGAUGGACUCGCGGCCUAUCAGCUUGUUGGUGAGGUAAUGGCUCACCAAGGCGACGACGGGUAGCCGGCCUGAGAGGGUGACCGGCCACACUGGGACUGAGACACGGCCCAGACUCCUACGGGAGGCAGCAGUGGGGAAUAUUGCACAAUGGGCGAAAGCCUGAUGCAGCGACGCCGCGUGAGGGAUGACGGCCUUCGGGUUGUAAACCUCUUUCAGUAGGGAAGAAGCGAAAGUGACGGUACCUGCAGAAGAAGCACCGGCUAACUACGUGCCAGCAGCCGCGGUAAUACGUAGGGUGCGAGCGUUAUCCGGAAUUAUUGGGCGUAAAGAGCUCGUAGGCGGUUUGUCGCGUCUGUCGUGAAAGUCCGGGGCUUAACCCCGGAUCUGCGGUGGGUACGGGCAGACUAGAGUGCAGUAGGGGAGACUGGAAUUCCUGGUGUAGCGGUGGAAUGCGCAGAUAUCAGGAGGAACACCGAUGGCGAAGGCAGGUCUCUGGGCUGUAACUGACGCUGAGGAGCGAAAGCAUGGGGAGCGAACAGGAUUAGAUACCCUUGGUAGUCCAUGCCGUAAACGUUGGGCACUAGGUGUGGGGACCAUUCCACCGGUUUCCNGCGCCGCAGCUAACCGCAUUAAAGUGCCCCGGCCUGGGGGAGUACGGGCCGCAAAGGCUAAAAACUCCAAAAGGAAUUUGACGGGGGGCCCCGCACCAAGCG
rnacentral:rRNA from 1 species